CAGUCUGCAACUCGACUGCAUGAAGUCGGAAUUGCUAGUAAUCGCGGAUCAGCAUGCCGCGGUGAAUACGUUCCCGGGCCUUGUACACACCGCCCGUCACACCAUGAGAGUCGGAACACCCGAAGUCCGUAGUCUAACCGCAAGGAGGACGCGGCCGAAGGUGGGCUUGAUAAUUGGGGUGAAGUCGUAACAAGGUACC
rnacentral:rRNA from 1 species